CCUACGGGUGGCAGCAGUCGAGAAUCAUUCACAAUGGGGGAAACCCUGAUGGUGCGACGCCGCGUGGGGGAAUGAAGGUCUUCGGAUUGUAAACCCCUGUCAUGUGGGAGCAAAUUAAAAAGAUAGUACCACAAGAGGAAGAGACGGCUAACUUUGUGCCAGCAGCCGCGGUAAUACAGAGGUCUCAAGCGUUGUUCGGAAUCACUGGGCGUAAGGCGUGCGUAGGCUGUUUCGUAAGUCGUGUGUGAAAGGCGCGGGCUCAACCCGCGGACGGCACAUGAUACUGCGAGACUAGAGUAAUGGAGGGGGAACCGGAAUUCUCGGUGUAGCAGUGAAAUGCGUAGAUAUCGAGAGGAACACUCGUGGCGAAGGCGGGUUCCUGGACAUUAACUGACGCUGAGGCACGAAGGCCAGGGGAGCGAAAGGGAUUAGAUACCCCUGUAGUC
rnacentral:rRNA from 1 species